GGUUUCGUAUUCUUGGUUCCCUUUGGCAGCGAGUGCAUGGCGCUGCAGGCGCUUUUUGUAGUUCUCUUUGCUUCGAGUUCACCGUGUUGGAAUGCAAACAUCCUGUCCAGCACCGGCGAGCUUACAGUAUUCGAAAGUUUUUAUCGACGGAAGAACCUAUCUGGACAUACAACGCAACAAAGCCGUCAACUCAUCGAUGUCAAGUGGACGUAACGAAUGAUGUGAAAAAUACUUCGAUUUAUUUCAAGCGAUGGUACUAUUUGAACCAUCAAAAGAAAACCAGCAAUAUUUUGGGAAAGUUCGAUCGAAACCGCAAGAAACGCAUGGUGGUUGAUCUUCCAGGUCAUAAUUACACUGUCGAAGAGGAUAUUCUUUACAUGAGUGAAAACUUUGGAUGUGCAGUGAUUAUGAUUACGACGAAAAGGCAGAUAGACAAUGCCAAUGCGGUCAAUACACGUAUUUCACAACGCACGUGAGAUGAUCUCGGCUUCACUUUCACUCCAGGUAAAUUCAUCACAUAUGACCUGCGAGUAAGAAAUUCUUCAAUGAUAUGUGGCGAUAUCACUGACUGUAAAGUGAAAUUCAGUGAGUAUGAGCGAAGAGAGGGGCAACUUUUGUACUCACCCGCAUGCCAGAACAUAUUUGUCAAGUAUCCGAAUGUAAGGCAUAAAUAAAGAUAUCG